AUUGCACGCUGGCGGCAGGCCUAACACAAGCAAGUCGAGUGAGCGGAGGAAGGGUGAGUAAAGUAUGGGGACUGACGGAUGGAGGUGGAUAAAUACAGGAAACGGAAGCUAAUACCGCAGACUAUCGGAUAACCCAUAUGGGAUUAGCUAGUAGGUGAGGUAAUGGCUCACCUAGGCGACAAUCCCUAGCUGGUCUGCGAGGAUGAUCAGCCACACUGGGAGUGAGACACGGCCCAGACUCCUCCGGAGGAGGCAGUGGGGAAAAUUGCACAAGUGGCGCAAGCCUGAUGCAGCCAUGCCCCGUGGAUGAAGAAGGCCAUAGGGUUGUAAAGUACUUUCAGUCGGGAGGCGUUACCGACAGAAGAAGCACCGGCUAACUCCUUGCCAGCAGCCGCGGUAAUAC
rnacentral:rRNA from 1 species